UCUGUAGGUGGAUAAUUAAGUCAGAGGUGAAAUCCUGCAGCUCAACUGUAGAAUUGCCUUUGAUACUGGUUAUCUUGAGUCAUUAUGAAGUGGUUAGAAUGUGUAGUGUAGCGGUGAAAUGCAUAGAUAUUACACAGAAUACCGAUUGCGAAGGCAGAUCACUAAUAAUGUACUGACACUGAGGGACGAAAGCGUGGGGAGCGAACAGGAUUAGAUACCCUGGUAGUCC
rnacentral:rRNA from 1 species